UACAGAGGCGGCAAGCGUUGUUCGGAUUUAUUGGGUGUAAAGGGCAGGUAGGUGGUCAUUUAAGUCCGCUGUGAAAUCCCAGGGCUCAACCCUGGAACUGCAGUAGAAACUGAAUGACUUGAGUAUUGGAGAGAUGAGGGGAAUUCUCGGUGUAAGGGUGAAAUCUGUAGAUAUCGAGAGGAAUACCAGUGGCGAAGGCGCCUCAUUGGCCAAUAACUGACACUGAGCUGCGAAAGCAAGGGGAGCAAACAGG
rnacentral:rRNA from 1 species